UGUGGGAUAUUGGUAGUAGGAGUCACACGGGGAUCCUUCUAGGAAGUAGCAUGGAUGCUGACCUCAUUUCCUGUGGCAUUUCUUCCUACAGGAGUACCUUGGCUCUACUCAGCGAGGGACCCAGUGCAUGAUGCAGCAUCCUGGGAGAAGGGGAGCAGGGGGCCAGAAAUGUUUUCCCAGUUUCUGCUCUUUCAGCCUCUGGAGAUGAGUAUUUCGGUUGGGAGGGACUGUGUCAGCAAGAGAGAUGAAGCACGGAGAGAUGAAAUCUCAGCCCUGUACACAGCCUGGCUGCCGUCUGUACCUGGGCCUUGCCGCACCAUCCCUCGAAUGCAAAGCAAUUCAACGAAAAGAGCCACCAUUCAGAUUUCCUUCAGGAAACACACCCUCGCUCCUGUUCACUAUAAGACAGCUGAGAGCAAGGCCAGUCGUCCGGUCAUCACACAGGGAACUGUACGCAGAAUAAAUCAGCCCACACUCCUCGUCACGAACUCAGUUGCUCUUUGA
rnacentral:lncRNA from 1 species